UAGGAAGCAGUGCUCAAGCAUCUCGGUUCGAAUCCGAGUGGCGGCA
rnacentral:tRNA from 1 species